GAAGUCAGCCAGACCGCCGCUGGUGCAAGCGUGGAAACACGGCACUGGAGGAAGGUCCGGACUGCACAGGGCGGCGUAGCAGCCAACGGCUGUCCACCGCGAGGUGAGGAUCAGAGCAACAGAGACGAGCCGAUUCAGUUCGGGUGAAACGGGCAAUCUCUACGCGCAGCAAUACCAAGUAGGCACACGUUGACUCGGCCCGAGGAGUGUGCGGGUAGGUAGCACCGAGCCGGAAGGCGACUUCCGGCCCAGAGGAAUGGCGGUCACGGCCGGCUUUCGCAAGAAGGCCGGCUGCACAGAAUCCGGCCUAUCGGCUGACUUCACAC
rnacentral:RNase_P_RNA from 1 species